UAUCCACUCUGAUACCUGCUCUGUUCGCC
rnacentral:piRNA from 1 species